rnacentral:rRNA from 1 species
UAGGGAAUCUUCGGCAAUGGGGGAACCCUGACCGAGCAACGCCGCGUGAGUGAAGAAGGUUUUCGGAUCGUAAAGCUCUGUUGUUAAGGAAGAACGUGUGUGAGAGUGGAAAGUUCACACAGUGACGGUACUUAACCAGAAAGGGACGGCUAACUACGUGCCAGCAGCCGCGGUAAUACGUAGGUCCCGAGCGUUGUCCGGAUUUAUUGGGCGUAAAGCGAGCGCAGGCGGUUAGAUAAGUCUGAAGUGAAAGGCAGUGGCUCAACCAUUGUAGGCUUUGGAAACUGUUUAACUUGAGUGCAGAAGGGGAGAGUGGAAUUCCAUGUGUAGCGGUGAAAUGCGUAGAUAUAUGGAGGAACACCGGUGGCGAAAGCGGCUCUCUGGUCUGUAACUGACGCUGAGGCUCGAAAGCGUGGGGAGCGAACAGGAUUAGAUACCCUGGUAGUCCACGCCGUAAACGAUGAGUGCUAGGUGUUAGGUCCUUUCCGGGACUUAGUGCCGCAGCUAACGCAUUAAGCACUCCGCCUGGGGAGUACGACCGCAAGGUU